CAACUACUCCCUCCAUCCGAAAAAGUUUGUCCCUCAAAUGGAUGUAUCUAGCACCAACUUGGUGCUAGAUACAUCCAUUUCAGGGAUAAGCUUGGGACAAGCUUUUUCGGAUGGAGGGAGUACUCA
rfam:Triticum aestivum genome assembly, contig: Triticum_aestivum_CS42_TGACv1_scaffold_307338_4AS